GACCAGACUCCUACGGGAGGCAGCAGUGGGGAAUAUUGGGCAAUGGGCGCAAGCCUGACCCAGCAACGCCGCGUGAAGGAAGAAGGCUUUCGGGUUGUAAACUUCUUUUAAGAGGGAAGAGUAGAAGACGGUACCUCUUGAAUAAGCCACGGCUAACUACGUGCCAGCAGCCGCGGUAAUACGUAGGUGGCAAGCGUUAUCCGGAUUUAUUGGGUGUAAAGGGCGUGUAGGCGGGAAUGCAAGUCAGAUGUGAAAACUCAGGGCUCAACCCUGAGCCUGCAUUUGAAACUGUAUUUCUUGAGUGCUGGAGAGGCAAUCGGAAUUCCGUGUGUAGCGGUGAAAUGCGUAGAUAUUAGGAGGAACACCAGUGGCGAAGGCGGCCUGCUGGGCUUUUACUGACGCUGAGGCUCGAAAGUGUGGGGAGCAAACAGGAUUAGAUACCCGUGUA
rnacentral:rRNA from 1 species